rnacentral:rRNA from 1 species
UACGUAGGGUGCAAGCGUUAAUCGGAAUUACUGGGCGUAAAGCGUGCGCAGGCGGUUUUGUAAGUUUGUCGUGAAAUCCCCGGGCUCAACCUGGGAAUUGCGAUGAAGACUGCAAGGCUAGAAUCUGGCAGAGGGGGGUAGAAUUCCACGUGUAGCAGUGAAAUGCGUAGAGAUGUGGAGGAACACCAGUGGCGAAGGCGGCUGACUGGACAUGUAUUGACGCUGAGGUGCGAAAGCGUGGGGAGCAAACAGG